GUAGGAGUGAAAGGCCAAUCAAACUUGGAGAUAGCUCGUACUCCCCGAAAGGCAUUUAGGUGCCGCGUGCGGCGAUAUCCAUAAGAGGUAGAGCGACCGAUAGGUCAAGAGGGCUUCACCGCCUAUCGAGACCUGACGAACUCCGAAUGCUCACGGAUUGUAGUCGUGCAGUAAGGGGGCGGGUGCUAAGGUCCGUCCCCGAGAGGAGAAGAAUCCAGACCGCCGUCUAAGGUCCCGAAAUUCUGUCUAAGUUAGUCUAACGAAGUCUGGUCCCCGUGACAGCUAGGAUGUUGGCUUGGAAGCAGCCAUUCAUUCAAAGAGUGCGUAACAGCUCACUAGUCGAGGGUCCGGGCAUGGAUAAUAAUCGGGUAUAAGUCAGAUACCGAAGGCGCGGGAUAGUAAUGUAUAUUAAAAGUAUCGGUAGGGGAGCAUUCCAUCGGCGUUGAAUGGUGAGGGUAACCGAUCCUGGAGCUUAUGGAAAAGCAAAUGUAGGUAUAAGUAACGAUAAAAAGGGUGAGAUUCCCUUUCGCCGAAAGACCGAGGUUUCCCGGGCGAUGCCAAUCAGCCCGGGGUUAGUCGGGUCCUAAGUCUCAGCCGAACGGCGAAGGCGAUGGCAGAUGCGGUUAAUAUUCCGCAACUCGCAUAUACAGUGAUGUGGAGACGGAGCAGUGACACUGCCGCGCCCUGACGGAAUAGGGCGUUUAAGUGCGUAGGCUAUGAGGGAGGCAGGCAAAUCCACCUUCCGAGCUGAACCACGAAAGUACAGGUAAUCCUUCGGGAUAACUUGAGUGCAGGUAAUCAUACUUCCGAGAAAAUCCGCUAAACUUAAUGUAUAUGCGACCCGUACCGCAAACGGACACACGUGGUCGGGUAGAAUAUACUAAGGCGUUGAGAGAUUCAUGGUUAAGGAACUAGGCAAAUUGACCCCGUAACUUCGGGAUAAGGGGUCCUCAUAGCAAUAUGAGGCGCAGAGAAUCGGUCCAGGCAACUGUUUAACAAAAACACAGGGCUGUGCAAACUCGAAAGAUGAAGUAUACAGCCUGACACCUGCCCGGUGCCGGAAGGUUAAGAGGAGAUGUCACCAGCAAUGGGAAGCAUUGAAUUGAAGCCCCGGUAAACGGCGGCCGUAACUAUAACGGUCCUAAGGUAGCGAAAUUCCUUGUCGGGUAAGUUCCGACCUGCACGAAUGGUGUAAUGAUCUGGACGCUGUCUCAACCAUGAGCUCAGUGAAAUUGUAGUAUCGGUGAAGAUGCCGAUUACCCGC
rnacentral:rRNA from 1 species